rnacentral:lncRNA from 1 species
AGCACUUGCAGCCAUGGAUCUGCUCUCCCCGGGCCCAGGAGAGGAGCCGAGCUGUGAGAGCCAGCGCCCGGCUCUUCAUGUUCUACCGCUUCAAAGCCAUCACCGAGGUGAGCAGCGCAGACCCUGCUGCCCCCCCCACCCCUCCAGCACUCACGGGAAGUGGGGGGAAUACAGACAGAGCUGGGCUCGUCCCGACCUAUGCCCUCAAUUUCUGUUUGGUGGCCCAUUAGGACCUGAAACCCAUGGUAGAGCAGGGCUACAUGGCCGGGCUGCUGACAAGCCAGGCCUUCGAUGCUCAGGAGGCCACCAGAUACUGGGCAUCUCAGGCUCUCUACUGGCUCUUCACGCCUUGCAAAGCUGUCGUGUACACCAAGACAGGGGCAGUGGUGAGCGUGCUGAGCAAGACGCAGAAGGAUGCCAGCUGCAGAGAGAACCCUGUCCAUGUUGCUAUGCUCAUCGCGAAGCACCUGCAGUCGAGUGACCUCAUGCCCUUCAGCUUCACCCUGCUGGUGGGCCUGCUGGAGAAGGAGGAGUGUGCAGACCAGCUGGCGGGCGUCAUGGAGGCGGUGCUGAGAGAGCAAGAAUCAGAGCUGCAGGGCCAAGUAAUGGCUGGGCAUUGGAGGCACCAUGCUGACAUCUCGGGCAGCUCCAUCUUGCCCCGUGCCUAGAAUUCCUGGGGCACGAGGGAGGAUGUGGAGGGGAGACAUCCCUUCUCACCAUCAUUGAUCAAUGGGACCCAUCCAUGCCCUGUCUGCAAGGGGGCCGCUGGGCACGGCCCUGUAAUGGUUUUCAGGCUUUGAUCCCAGGAGUCUGGCUUGCCCAGCUCACUCCCUGGGAAAUGUGCCCUAUCUCCAGACCCAUCCCCCAGCUGGAGGAACAGAGCCUGCGGUGGGGUCCCCCGUGUCCACUGACUCUUUGCCCAGUGGGCAUGGAUUGACGUACAGGAUGGAAAUGCAUCCCAGACGCUUAGACCCCACUCUGGUGCUGAAGCAGCCCAGGCAUGUUGUCACAAGGGGAGGUACAGCCGGGAUAUCCGGGGGGUGGGGUGUCACUGGGCAGCGGGAUUGGGACCCUUAGUUCUACGGUGCUGGAUCACGGGUGGGGGUUUCAAGGUACCGAACCCAGAACCCCCCUCGGCUCAGUCACUCGCUAGGAGAGUUUAUCCAUGGCCUCCGCCGGGCCAUGUGACUGCUGCCUUGUUUCUGAGCCUGCCCAGUUCCUCCUGGCCCUUGCCUGCCACCCACCCACAGCGGGGGUAGGGUCUCAGCCCCUGCUUUGCCUCCGCAGGUGCAGGAUCUCCAGGCGGCUCUUUCCUACACACUGAGCCCACCCCGGGGGGGGCGGCUGAGUGAGGGGACGAGAGACAUUCUCCACCUACUGGCCAGACAACACACCAAGGCCGCGGUCAGCAUCCUCCUGAAGAUGCCCUGGCCUUACAAACGGUGAGCGCCGGCCCCAGGGAAAGGAUAGAACACCCCACU